AACAUCGCGCACCUGCGGGAACCUGCGGAAGGAUCAUUACCGAGUUUACAACUCCCAAACCCCUGUGAACAUACCUAUAUGUUGCCUCGGCGGAUCAGCCCGCGCCCCGUAAAACGGGACGGCCCGCCGCAGGAUCCACAAACUCUGUUUUUAUUGUAACUUCUGAGUAACAAAACAAAUAAAUCAAAACUUUUAACAAUGGAUCU
rnacentral:misc_RNA from 1 species